ACGCUCGACACCUACGGGAGGCAGCAGUCGGGAAUAUUGCGCAAUGGAGGAAACUCUGACGCAGUGACGCCGCGUAUAGGAAGAAGGUUUUCGGAUUGUAAACUAUUGUCGUUAGGGAAGAGAAAGGACAGUACCUAAGGAGGAAGCUCCGGCUAACUACGUGCUAGCAGCCGCGGUAAUCUGAGCGGGCUGGCAAGGC
rnacentral:rRNA from 1 species